CGGAGGGCUAGCGUUGUUCGGAAUUACUGGGCGUAAAGCGCACGUAGGCGGACCAGAAAGUUGGGGUGAAAUCCCGGGCUCAACCUCGGAACUGCCCUCAAAACUAUUGGUCUGGAGUUCGAGAGAGGUGAGUGGAAUUCCGAGUGUAGAGGUGAAAUUCGUAGAUAUUCGGAGGAACACCAGUGGCGAAGGCGGCUCACUGGCUCGAUACUGACGCUGAGGUGCGAAAGCGUGGGGAGCAAACAGGAUU
rnacentral:rRNA from 1 species